AUCAGCCCUCCAUCUGCAGCCUCAGGAAGCCCUCCAGUUCAGGCCUCAACAAGUAGGCUCCACACAGAGACAAUGGAAAGACCAAAAAAAGAAAUUCUGCAAUAAUGGAGCCAAAAGCCAGACCUUGCCAGCCAUACCACCAUUUCCAUUUCCACCAUCAACACCAGAGACAGUCCCAGAUCUAAGACAAGAUGAAAGAGAACUCCGAAAAUUCUACAAACAAAAUUCUCUUCUGCUUCAGGCAAUUUUGAGAAGAGAGAGUGUCACUGAAGUCAGCAGUUUUCCUGAUUUUGAGUUUCCGUUACAAAAUAUUAAUGAUAUAAAAAAAAUGUUGGACCGGCUUUCUGACAAGGAAACACGGCGCUCUCUGAGGGAAAACAUCUCAUGAGUUUGGGUAGGACAACAAUAAAAGAUAUAAUCUACAGGAUCAGGCGUGAAACAAUCAGCAAUGAUUUAGAGAAAAAGUUUAACUGGAUGGGCAGGGGCAGAAAAG